UACGGAGGGGCUAGCGUUGUUCGGAAUUACUGGGCGUAAAGCGCACGUAGGCGGAUUGGAAAGUUGGGGGUGAAAUCCCGGGGCUCAACCCCGGAACUGCCUUCAAAACUCCCAGUCUGGAGGUCGAGAGAGGUGAGUGGAAUUCCGAGUGUAGAGGUGAAAUUCGUAGAUAUUCGGAGGAACACCAGUGGCGAAGGCGGCUGCACUGGCUCGAUACUGACGCUGAGGUGCGAAAGCGUGGGGAGCAAACAGG
rnacentral:rRNA from 1 species